CUUUAACUUACACCCAAAUCGCCAGGGAACUACGAGCAAAGCUUAAAACCCAAAGGACUUGACGGUACCCCACAUCCACCUAGAGGAGCCUGUCCUAUAAUCGAUAAUCCCCGUUUAACCUCACCAUUUUUUGCUUUUCAGCCUGUAUACCUCCGUCGUCAGCUUACCACGUGAGCGUCCCUCAGUGAGCUUAAUGUCCCUCGUCAAAACGUCAGGUCAAGGUGCAGCACACAAAAUGGGAAGAGAUGGGCUACACUCUCUAACAUAGAACACACGGAAGGCUACAUAUGAAACCCAGCCUGAAGGCGGAUUUAGUAGUAAAAGGAGACAAGAGAGCUCUUUUUAACACGGCACUGGGGUGUGUACACACCGCCCGUCACCUUUG
rnacentral:rRNA from 1 species